rnacentral:lncRNA from 1 species
ACUCAUAAUUAUGUAAAGGCCCUAGCCUUAGCUAGAAGACGCAUCUUGGGAAAAUCCGACAUGGGCUAUUUUGACAACCAUGCACAAAGGGCUAAAUUAGACUUCGAUUAUACUCUUACUUUGGCUAUUUUGACAACCAAGCCCAAAGGGAUGAAUCAAACUUUGGUUUUAUUCUAAAACUAAAUGUACUUUAGCUAGGAGCUAAGGAUUCAACUAUGUUCUUAAAGACUUGAACAUCCU